rnacentral:lncRNA from 1 species
AGGAGUUUGUGGUUUUGAGCCUUCCAGGAAUCACCUGGCCUCCGGUUGAGAUGGCCCUCCUCAGACUUACUGAGUGCUGGCCACACCACAUGAGGAGUCAGGCUAAAGAAUUCCAACACCGUCCCUGCUGUGAGCAGGACUUGCAUGUGACAUUUCUGAGGUUUCUUUCCUUGACUUUCAAAACAGGGAUGCCUGACAGAUCACACCCAGCCAACAGAACACGUGUCUGGGGAAGCCUGGAUCCCUCUGUGCGGAGGAACAAAUCAGGAGUCUUGGGGAUGAAGGAGCGAUGUCUGCCCAAGUUCUCAGGGCUGUCCAGACAGAAGGCAAGCCUUUGUUCUUCCUGA